rnacentral:rRNA from 1 species
GCUGCGAUAGCACGCUAUAAUGUAGUCCAACGCUCAGCAAAAGGUGCUUGCACCUUUCAAGUGAGUGGCGAACGGGUGAGUAACACGUGGACAACCUGCCUCAAGGCUGGGGAUAACAUUUGGAAACAGAUGCUAAUACCGAAUAAAACUUAGUGUCGCAUGACACAAAGUUAAAAGGCGCUUCGGCGUCACCUAGAGAUGGAUCCGCGGUGCAUUAGUUAGUUGGUGGGGUAAAGGCCUACCAAGACAAUGAUGCAUAGCCGAGUUGAGAGACUGAUCGGCCACAUUGGGACUGAGACACCGCCCAUACUCCUACGGGAGGCUGCAGUAGCGAAUCUUCCACAAUGGGCGAAAGCCUGAUGGAGCAACGCCGCGUGUGUGAUGAAGGCUUUCGGGUCGUAAAGCACUGUUGUAUGGGAAGAACAGCUAGAAUAGGAAAUGAUUUUAGUUUGACGGUACCAUACCAGAAAGGGACGGCUAAAUACGUGCCAGCAGCCGCGGUAAUACGUAUGUCGCGAGCGUUAUCCGGAUUUAUUGGGCGUAAAGCGAGCGCAGACGGUUUAUUAAGUCUGAUGUGAAAGCCCGGAGCUCAGCUCCGGAAUGGCAUUGGAAACUGGUUAACUUGAGUGCAGUAGAGGUAAGUGGAACUCGAUGUGUAGCGGUGGAAUGCGUACAUAUAUGGAAGAACACCAGUGGCGAAGGCGGCUUACUGGACUGCGACUGACGUUGAGGCUCGAAAGUGUGGGUAGCAACCAGGAUUAGAACCGGGGGAUAUUA